UCCCUCAUGGUCCAGUGGCUAAGACUCUGCGCUCCCAAUGCAGGUUGCCUGGGUUCGAUCCCUGGUCUGGGAA
rnacentral:tRNA from 1 species